rnacentral:rRNA from 1 species
CCUUCUAAGGUCUGGCAAUUGGAAUGAGAACAAUUUAAAUCCCUUAUCGAGGAUCAAUUGGAGGGCAAGUCUGGUGCCAGCAGCCGCGGUAAUUCCAGCUCCAAUAGCGUAUAUUUUAGUUGUUGCAGUUAAAAAGCUCGUAGUUGAAUUUCUGGUGGGGGAAUGUGGUGUGACCCUUAGGGUUAUGACUUGCAAUCUCCGGCCAUCCUUGGGUGGAGCCAUUCUGGCAUUAAGUUGUCGGGGUGGGGAUGCCCAUCGUUUACUGUGAAAAAAUUAGAGUGUUCAAAGCAGACUUAUGUCGUUGAAUAUAUUAGCAUGGAAUAAUAAGAUAGGACAGCAGUGCUAUUUUGUUGGUUUGCGCGCCGUUGUAAUGAUGAAUAGGGACAGUUGUGGGUAUUCGUAUUCACUUGUAAGAGGUGAAAUUCUUAGAUUAAGGGAAGACGAACUACUGCGAAAGCAUUUACCAAGGAUGUUUUCAUUAAUCAAGAACGAAAGUAUGGGGAUCGAAGAUGAUUAGAUACCAUCGUAGUCUAUACCAUAAACUAUGCCGACUCUGGAUGGGCGGGUGUUUUUUUGACCUCGUCUGCACAGUAUGAGAAAUCAAAGUCUUUGGGUUCCGG